rnacentral:rRNA from 1 species
GACGAACGCUGGCGGCGUGCUUAACACAUGCAAGUCGAACGGAAAGGCCCUGCUUUUGUGGGGUGCUCGAGUGGCGAACGGGUGAGUAACACGUGAGUAACCUGCCCUUGACUUUGGGAUAACUUCAGGAAACUGGGGCUAAUACCGGAUAGGAGCUCCUGCUGCAUGGUGGGGGUUGGAAAGUUUCGGCGGUUGGGGAUGGACUCGCGGCUUAUCAGCUUGUUGGUGGGGUAGUGGCUUACCAAGGCUUUGACGGGUAGCCGGCCGGAGAGGGUGACCGGCCACAUUGGGACUGAGAUACGGCCCAGACUCCUACGGGAGGCAGCAGUGGAGAAUAUUGCACAAUGGGCGGAAGCCUGAUGCAGCAACGCCGCGUGCGGGAUGACGGCCUUCGGGUUGUAAACCGCUUUCGCCUGUGACGAAGCGUGAGUGACGGUAAUGGGUAAAGAAGCACCGGCUAACUACGUG